AAAGCCCUAACUGGAAGUGAAUUUUGAGCUUGUAUAUCUAUUCAGGAAAGGAAGCUUGUGGACCUGAUAUUGUGUCUUUAUUGAAAUCUAAGGCCUGCAAAGGUAAUUUAGGCAUUGUUAGGUCAUCGGAGAUCAGUUUCCACAACCAGUCAG